rnacentral:rRNA from 1 species
UACAGAGGGUGCGAGCGUUGUUCGGAAUUAUUGGGCGUAAAGCGCUUGUAGGCGGCACGUCAAGUCGCGUGUGAAAUCCCCAGGCUUAACCGGGCGAGGUCGGCGGAAACUCUCAGACUGGAGGCCGGUAGAGGGGGGUGGAAUUCCCGGUGUAGUGGUGAAAUGCGUAGAGAUCGGGAGGAACACCUGUGGCGAAGGCGGCCCCCUGGGCCGCGCCUGACGCUGAGACGCGAAGGCUAGGGGAGCGAACGGG